UACCGUGAAACUGCGAAUGGCUCAUUAAAUCAGUUAUCGUUAUUUGAUAGUACCUUACUACUUGGAUACCUGUGGUAAUUCUAGAGCUAAUACAUGCUAAAAACCCCGACUUCGGGAGGGGUGUGUUUAUUAGAUAAAAAACCAAUGCCUUUCGGGGCUCCUUUGGUGAUUCAUGAUAACCUAACGGAUCGCAUGGCCUUGCGCCGGCGACGGUUCAUUCAAAUUUCUGCCCUAUCAACUUUCGAUGGUAAGGUCUUGGCUUACCAUGGUUUCAACGGGUAACGGGGAGUUAGGGCUCGACUCCGGAGAAGGAGCCUGAGAAACGGCUACUACAUCCAAGGAAGGCAGCAGGCGCGCAAAUUACCCAAUCCCGACGCGGGGAGGUAGUGACAAUAAAUACUGAUACAGGGCUCUUUUGGGUCUUGUAAUCGGAAUGAGUACAAUUUAAAUCCCUUAACGAGGAACAAUUGGAGGGCAAGUCUGGUGCCAGCAGCCGCGGUAAUUCCAGCUCCAAUAGCGUAUAUUAAAGUUGUUGCAGUUAAAAAGCUCGUAGUUGAACCUUGGGCCUGGCUGGCCGGUCCGCCUCACCGCGUGUACUGGUCCGGCCGGGCCUUUCUUUCUGGGGAGUCGCAUGCCCUUCACUGGGUGUGUCGGCGGACCAGGACUUUUACUGUGAACAAAUUAGAGUGUUCAAAGCAGGCCUUUGCUCGAAUACAUUAGCAUGGAAUAAUAGAAUAGGACGUGCGGUCCUAUUUUGUUGGUUUCUAGGAUCGCCGUAAUGAUUAAUAGGCUCAGUCGGGGGCAUCAGUAUUCAAUUGUCAGAGGUGAAAUUCUUGGAUUUAUUGAAGACUAACUACUGCGAAAGCAUUUGCCAAGGAUGUUUUCAUUAAUCAGUGAACGAAAGUUAGGGGAUCGAAGACGAUCAGAUACCGUCGUAGUCUUAACCGUAAACUAUGCCGACUAGGGAUCGGGCGAUGUUUCUAUCUUGACUCGCUCGGCACCUUACGAGAAAUCAAAG
rnacentral:rRNA from 1 species